GAUGAAGAAGGUAGCGAAAUGCGAUACGUAAUGUGAAUUGCAGAAUUCAGUGAAUCAUCGAAUCUUUGAACGCAUAUUGCGCUCUCUGGUAUUCCGGAGAGCAUGCUUGUUUGAUUAUCAGUAAACACCUCAACUUCCAUAUCUUUUUUGAAAUGGGAGUUGGACUUGAGUGAUCCCAACGCUUUUCCUCACCGAAAAGUGGCGGGUUACUUGAAAUGCAGGUGCAGCUGGACUUUUCUCUGAGCUAUAAGCAUAUCUAUUUAGUCUGCCUAAAAAACAGAUUAUUACCUUUGCUGCAGCUAACAUAAAGGAGAUUAGUUCUUGUGCUGACUGAUGCAGGAUUCACAAAGACAGGCUUCGGCCGACUUUGUAAACUCGAUCUCAAAUCAAGUAAGACUACCCGCUGAACUUAAGCAUAUCAAUAAGCGGAGGA
rnacentral:misc_RNA from 1 species